UGUAGAUUAGAUAAUUUAGUUUUACUUUUCCCAUAAAAUAAAAUCUGAAAAGAUAAGAUUAUUUUUAUUUUGGAAUGUUAUAACAAAUAUUAUAAAUCGAGGGAUUUAAAUUGGUAAAAGUGAGUCCACAUGUAUACUUUGGUUUUAUUUUACCAACAAAGUAUUUUGGUUUUAGGUCUCAAUUUUAUGUUUUCUUUUGCUUUAAUCUCCGUUGCAGUAGGAAGGUCCGGAUCCCAAAACUAAUGGGAUCUUUAAUCCAACGAGAUGAGAUGUUCGAUGAAAAUAGAUAUCCUAAAAGAUUUGAACGCUUACAAAAAUCU
rnacentral:lncRNA from 1 species